GACAGCUUGGUCAUUUAGAGGAAGUAAAAGUCGUAACAAGGUAACCGUAGGUGAACCUGCGGUUGGAUCAUUACAAAAAGUUGAGCUACGGAGCUCUCUUUAACGCUAGUGUCUGCCUAAAAAACAGCCUAGUCAACACCUUUGUGAACUGUUAAUGUCUCUGGUGGGACCACUUCUCUUGGGAAGUACCCACCAGUCAAGUUUUUGAACCCCGUUUUUACUAUUGUCUUAUUCAAAUGAUUUAAUUUGAAACAACUUUUGACAACGGAUCUCUUGGCUCUC
rnacentral:misc_RNA from 1 species